rnacentral:rRNA from 1 species
AGUGAACGCUGGCGGUAGGCCUAACACAUGCAAGUCGGACGGCAGCACAGUAAGAGCUUGCUCUUACGGGUGGCGAGUGGCGGACGGGUGAGGAAUACAUCGGAACCUACUUUUUCGUGGGGGAUAACGUAGGGAAACUUACGCUAAUACCGCAUACGACCUACGGGUGAAAGCAGGGGAUCUUCGGACCUUGCGCGAUUGAAUGAGCCGAUGUCGGAUUAGCUAGUUGGCGGGGUAAAGGCCCACCAAGGCGACGAUCCGUAGCUGGUCUGAGAGGAUGAUCAGCCACACUGGAACUGAGACACGGUCCAGACUCCUACGGGAGUCAGCAGUGGGGAAUAUUGGACAAUGGGCGCAAGCCUGAUCCAGCCAUACCGCGUGGGUGAAGAAGGCCUUCGGGUUUUAAAGCCCUUUUGUUGGGAAAGAAAAGCAGCAGGUUAAUACCCCGCUGUUCUGACGGUACCCAAAGAAUAAGCACCGGCUAACUUCGUG